UGAACGCUGGCGGCGUGCCUAAUACAUGCAAGUCGAGCGAACAGACGAGAGUGCUUGCACUCUCUGACGUUAGCGGCGGACGGGUGAGUAACACGUGGGUAACCUACCUAUAAGACUGGGAUAACUUCGGGAAACCGGAGCUAAUACCGGAUAAUAUUUAGCUUCGCAUGAAGCAAUAGUGAAAGACGGUUCUGCUGUCACUUAUAGAUGGACCCGCGGUGUAUUAGCUAGUUGGUGAGGUAACGGCUCACCAAGGCAACGAUACAUAGCCGACCUGAGAGGGUGAUCGGCCACACUGGGACUGAGACACGGCCCAGACUCCUACGGGAGGCAGCAGUAGGGAAUCUUCCGCAAUGGACGAAAGUCUGACGGAGCAAUGCCGCGUGAGUGAAGAAGGUUUUCGGAUCGUAAAACUCUGUUGUAAGGGAAGAACAAGUACGUUAGUAACUGAACGUACCUUGACGGUACCUUACCAGAAAGCCACGGCUAACUACGUG
rnacentral:rRNA from 1 species